UACGUGGGGUGCAAGCGUUGUCCGGAAUUACUGGGCGUAAAGCGCGCGUAGGCGGCUUUGCAAGUCGGGUGUGAAAUCCCCAGGCUCAACCUGGGAACUGCAUUCGAGACUGCAUUGCUAGAGUAUGGGAGAGGGAAGUGGAAUUUCCGGUGUAGCGGUGAAAUGCGUAGAUAUCGGAAGGAACAUCAGUGGCGAAAGCGACUUCCUGGACCAAUACUGACGCUCAUGUGCGAAAGCGUGGGGAGCAAACAGG
rnacentral:rRNA from 1 species